AUUGAACGCUGGCGGCAGGCCUAACACAUGCAAGUCGAGCGAGCGGCGGACGGGUGAGUAAUGUAUGGGGACUGCCCGAUAGAGGGGGAUAACUACUGGAAACGGUGGCUAAUACCGCAUACUAUCGGAUAACCCAUAUGGGAUUAGCUAGUAGGUGGGGUAAUGGCUCACCUAGGCGACGAUCCCUAGCUGGUCUGAGAGGAUGACCAGCCACACGUGAACUGAGACACGGUCCAGACUCCGACGGAGGCAGCAGUGGGGAAUAUUGCACAAUGGGCGCAAGCCUGAUACAGCCAUGCCGCGUGUGUGAAGAAGGCCUUCGGGUUGUAAAGUACUUUCAGUCGGGAGGCGUUACCGACAGAAGAAGCACCGGCUAACUCCGUGCCAGCCGCCGCGGUAAUAC
rnacentral:rRNA from 1 species